GCUUAGCCAUAAACACAGAUAGUACAAACACAAUACUAUCCGCCAGAGAACUACAAGCGAAAAGCUUAAAACUCCAAGGACUUGGCGGUGCUUCAAAUCAACCUAGAGGAGCCUGUCCUAUAAUCGAUACCCCCCGUUCUACCUUACCCCUUCUAGCCAACCAGCCUAUAUACCGCCGUCGUCAGCCUACCUUAUGAAAGAAGUAAAGUGAGCAAAAAAGUUAACAACUAACACGUCAGGUCAAGGUGUAGCACACGAAGUGGCAGAGAUGGGCUACAUUUUUUCAAAGCAAAAACACGAAUGGUAGGCUGAAACGCUUACCCGAAGGCGGAUUUAGUAGUAAAAUAAACAAGAGUCAUCAUCUUAAACUGGCUCUGAAGCGCGCACAC
rnacentral:rRNA from 1 species